rnacentral:rRNA from 1 species
GAUGAACGCUGACAGAAUGCUUAACACAUGCAAGUCAACUUGAACUUCGGUUUGGGUGGCGGACGGGUGAGUAACGCGUAAAGAACUUGCCUCACAGUUAGGGACAACAUUUGGAAACGAAUGCUAAUACCUGAUAUUAUGAUUAUAUGGCAUCGUAUAAUUAUGAAAGCUAUAUGCGCUGUGAGAGAGCUUUGCGUCCCAUUAGCUAGUUGGAGAGGUAACGGCUCACCAUGGCGAGGAUGGGUAGCCGGCCUGAGAGGGUGAUCGGCCACAAGGGGACUGAGACACGGCCCUUACUCCUACGGGAGGCAGCAGUGGGGAAUAUUGGACAAGGGACCAAGAGUCUGAUCCAGCAAUUCUGUGUGGACGAUGAAGUUUUUCGGAAUGUAAAGUGCUUUCAGUUGAGAAGAAAAAAAUGACGGUACCAACAGAAGAAGUAACGGCUAAAUACGUG